UGGGGAAUAUUGCACAAUGGAGGGAACUCUGAUGCAGCGACGCCGCGUGAGUGAUGAAGGAAUUCGUUUCGUAAAACUCUGUUCUAUGGGAAGAAAAGGACUGUACCAUAGGAGAAAGCUCCGGCUAAAUACGUGCCAGCAGCCGCGGUAAUACGUAUGGAGCGAGCGUUGUCCGGAAUUAUUGGGCGUAAAGGGUGCGCAGGCGGCUUUACAAGUUCGAUGUGAAAUAUUGUGGCUCAACCACAAACGUGCAUCCAAAACUGCAAAGCUUGAGUUAAGGAGAGGUAAGUGGAAUUCCUGGUGUAGCGGUGGAAUGCGUAGAUAUCAGGAGGAAUACCGGUGGCGAAGGCGACUUACUGGACUUAAACUGACGCUCAGGCACGAAAGCGUGGGGAGCAAACAGG
rnacentral:rRNA from 1 species